rnacentral:misc_RNA from 1 species
UUUCCGUAGGUGAACCUGCGGAAGGAUCAUUAAUGAGUUGUCAUGGGGUUCGAUGCUGGCAGCCAAUUUUUGGAUGCAUGUGCUUGCCCUAACAAUCAUCUUCCAAACACCUGUGCACAUUUUUGAGGGAGUCUUGAGUUGGUUGCCGCUCUUGGGUGAUUUUCUCACAUUCCCUUAAAUCAUUAUACGCUAUUAACAAUGUUGAACGUGCUCUGUGCCGCAAGGCUAUUAAUAUAAUACAACUUUUAACAACGGAUCUCUUGGCUCUCGCAUCGAUGAAGAAGCAGC